GUGCCAGCAGCCGCGGUAAUACGAAGGGUGCAAGCGUUACUCGGAAUUACUGGGCGUAAAGCGUGCGUAGGCGGUGACUUAAGUCUGUUGUGAAAUCCCCGGGCUCAACCUGGGAAUGGCAAUGGAUACUGGGUCGCUAGAGUGUGAUAGAGGAUGGUGGAAUUCCGAGUGUAGAGGUGAAAUGCGUAGAUAUUCGGAAGAACACCGGUGGCGAAGGCGGCCACCUGGACGGUCACUGACGCUGAGACGCGAAAGCGUGGGGAGCAAACAGGAUUAGAAACCCUAGUAGUCC
rnacentral:rRNA from 1 species